rnacentral:piRNA from 1 species
UCCUGAUGAUGACCCACAUUCCUUGGUACC